UAGGCUCCUCAAUCCCCUCGCACAAGGAGCCACCGCCAACCCUGCCCUUGACCGUGGCGCCGUCGGCGUCCUAUCGCUCGUGCCACCGCCGCCGGCGACCCUCGCACAGCCGCAGCCGCAGCCGCCUGCUCUCCUCUGCUGCCCCAGCGCCCCGAGCAUCGCCCCGUCGAAUAGGGCCUCCCCACGGCAGCGCCUCCUCCCUGGAUCAGCCACUGAAGGCCAUCAACGCCGGCGACCGAAUCCAUAGGAAGUCGUCCGCCGCCGCCGAGGACGGAGAAGGUCCGGUGUCUAUAACCGUCGAUUCUGAAAGCUCAACAGGUCAAGUGACCUUGUAGAAUAUUUUGGUAGCAGGCUGCACAAAAAUGUUGGGUGGGCAAGGAAUUGAAGGAUGGAAAAACUUUCGAGCUUCGCUGGAAGUUGCGUGAUCGAUGAGCUUCUUUUAAACCAGUCGCUUGUUUUGUAAGGGUGUUGGAGUGAAUUGAUCCAUUACAAGGAUAGCUUGCUUUGUUUUGGCAGAGAGCCAUCGUUGUUGCUCUGCUUUGCAUGUUGUUACGUCUUGCUGAUGGUUUAUGUUUUUUUCCCUGAACUGGACAAACCUAAGCUUGUAUUAUCCGUUUCAUGCUGAAUGACAGUGGCUCACUUGAGCUCCUUAAUUUUACAAAAUAUCUAUCUUUCGCUCAAAAUAUCUACUCCUAUUGAUUUUUAAUGAGUGGAACUUAAUAGAGUUGGACUUCAGGGAUUUAUAAGGUUGCAAGUGUCUUUUUAUUCUAGCAAAGUUGCUGCCUCAUUUAUUGAGGAAAGUGUUACUAAUACUUUUGACCAAAAG